rnacentral:rRNA from 1 species
UGGGGAAUAUUGCGCAAUGGGCGAAAGCCUGACGCAGCGACGCCGCGUGAGGGAUGAAGGUUUUCGGAUCGUAAACCUCUGUCAGAAGGGAAGAAACCGCACUGUGCUAAUCAGCAGUGCCUUGACGGUACCUUCAAAGGAAGCACCGGCUAACUCCGUGCCAGCAGCCGCGGUAAUACGGAGGGUGCAAGCGUUAAUCGGAAUUACUGGGCGUAAAGCGCACGUAGGCUGCUUUGUAAGUCAUGGGUGAAAUCCCACGGCUCAACCGUGGAACUGCCUUUGAUACUGCUUAGCUUGAAUCCGGGAGAGGGUGGCGGAAUUCCAGGUGUAGGAGUGAAAUCCGUAGAUAUCUGGAGGAACAUCAGUGGCGAAGGCGGCCACCUGGACCGGUAUUGACGCUGAGGUGCGAAAGCGUGGGGAGCAAACAGG